AUUGAACGCUGGCGGCAGGCCUAACACAUGCAAGUCGAACGGUAACAGGAAGAAGCUUGCUUCUUUGCUGACGAGUGGCGGACGGGUGAGUAAUGUCUGGGAAACUGCCUGAUGGAGGGGGAUAACUACUGGAAACGGUAGCUAAUACCGCAUAACGUCGCAAGACCAAAGAGGGGGACCUUCGGGCCUCUUGCCAUCGGAUGUGCCCAGAUGGGAUUAGCUAGUAGGUGGGGUAACGGCUCACCUAGGCGACGAUCCCUAGCUGGUCUGAGAGGAUGACCAGCCACACUGGAACGGAGACAGGCUCCGAACCCCUGGGGGGGGCGGCGGGGGGAAAGUUUGCACAUUGGGCGCAGGCUGUAUGCAGCCGUGCGGGGUGUAUAAAGAAGGCUUUGGGGUUUUAAAGUUCUUCCGGGGGGGAGGAAGGGAGAAAAGUAAAUCCCUUCGCUCAUUGAGUUACCCCGAAAAAGAAGCCCGGGCAACCCCCGUG
rnacentral:rRNA from 1 species